rnacentral:rRNA from 1 species
UCUAGCAUAAGUCAGACAAGUGAA